GUCCACGCCGUAAACGAUGGGUGCUAGGUGUGGGGGUGUCGACUCCCUCCGUGCCGAAGCUAACGCAUUAAGCACCCCGCCUGGGGAGUACGGCCGCAAGGCUAAAACUCAAAGGAAUUGACGGGGACCCGCACAAGCAGCGGAGCAUGUGGUUUAAUUCGACGCAACGCGAAGAACCUUACCUGGGCUUGACAUGCACAGGAAUGUCGUGGAAACACGCCAGCCCUUCGGGGCCUGUGCACAGGUGGUGCAUGGCUGUCGU
rnacentral:rRNA from 1 species